rnacentral:misc_RNA from 1 species
GAGACAAGCAUAUGACUACUGGCAGGAUCAACCAGGUAGCAUUCCUCCGCGACGUCGCGCUUCGCCCUCGCACCGCCGGGGCGGUCGAGGGGCGGGAGCGGCCGUCAUACAUUACACAUGUCGAAGCUUCUCUUGGGACUGGGACGUGAGUCCCAGCCCACGGCGUGCGCUGGGUCCGAGAGCGUCGCACUUCCCCGCGGGCCACGCGACCUGCGGAGGCUCGGUGGAACGCGGGGGGUGCUCCGUUGUCCUCCUGCGCCCACUGGAAGGCGCAGGAUGGAGGCUUAACCGUCAAGUGGCCUGGCUCCCUUGAAGGGGUAGGCAACACAAGAACCAGCCUCUGGGGAACCAUCCCGCCUCGCGCGACCGAAGCGGAUUGCCCGCCUCCCGUUCGGUGGACGAGCACGGAGCCAGCCGGCAGAGACAAUCCAAACACCA